UUGAAUUAACUAGAGAAUUACUAGCCUAAUUUAGAGACUUUUUUCUUCUCAUGCAUCUUAAAGCUGAAGAAUCUUUUGAUACUGUCUAAUCUAGUUCCCCUGUUUUAUAGAGGAGAGUAAAUGAUUUACCAAAGGUUAAGAAGUUAACUAGUGCCAAGCUGGGUCUAGAAAUUGGGUCUAUAAUUUGACAGCCUUCUGACUACUGUAUCAAAGCAAAACCUUGGUAUUGGCAGAUAACGAAGCUGAGGAGGAGUGGAGUUGUUUGGAAGAAGAGGAUAAUUUCCCCUCCUUCUGAUCUGAACUUAUCAUGGACAAAAUGAUGAAAUCUAACCAUGUCACUCCCCUUAAAAAAAUACCACAGUAUCUGUUGGUGAUGGAAUACUAUUGUGCUCAAAGGAAUAAUAAAGUGGAGGAAUUCCAUGGGAACUGGAACAACCUCCAGGAAGUGAUGCAGAGUGAGAGGAGCAGAACCAGGGAAAUCAUUAUACACAGAGACUGAUACACUGUGGCACAAUCGAAUGUAAUGGACUUCUCCAUUAAUGGCAAUGCAGUGAACUUGAAGAACUUGGAGGAAUCUAUAAGAAAAAACACUAUCCACAUUCAGAGGAAAAACUGUGGGAGUAAAAACACCGAAGAAAAACCUCUGCUUGAUUACAUGGGUUGAGGGGGAUAUGAUUGGGGUUAUAGACCCUAAAGGAACAUCCUAGUGCAAACAUCACCAGCAUGGAAAUAGGUUCUGAUCAAGGACACAUGUAAUACCCAGUGGAAUUGCGUGUCGGCUAUGGGAAGGGUGGGGGGAGGGGAAGGAGGAAUAGAAUAUGGUCUUUGUAACCAAGGAAUAAUAUUUGAAAUUGACCAAAUUAAAAAAAAAUAAAAAAAAUAAAGAAAUGCCA
rnacentral:lncRNA from 1 species